rnacentral:rRNA from 1 species
UGGGGAAUAUUGGGCAAUGGGCGAAAGCCUGACCCAGCAACGCCGCGUGAAGGAAGAAGGCCUUCGGGUUGUAAACUUCUUUUAUCAGGGACGAAGGAAGUGACGGUACCUGAUGAAUAAGCCACGGCUAACUACGUGCCAGCAGCCGCGGUAAUACGUAGGUGGCAAGCGUUAUCCGGAUUUACUGGGUGUAAAGGGCGCGUAGGCGGGGAUGCAAGUCAGAUGUGAAAUCUAUGGGCUCAACCCAUAAACUGCAUUUGAAACUGUAUCUCUUGAGUGUCGGAGAGGUAGAUGGAAUUCCUAGUGUAGCGGUGAAAUGCGUAGAUAUUAGGAGGAACACCAGUGGCGAAGGCGAUCUACUGGACGAUAACUGACGCUGAGGCGCGAAAGCGUGGGGAGCAAACAGG